rnacentral:rRNA from 1 species
UACGGAGGGGGCUAGCGUUGUUCGGAAUUACUGGGCGUAAAGCGCACGUAGGCGGCUUUGCAAGUUAGAGGUGAAAGCCCGGGGCUCAACUCCGGGAUUGCCUUUAAAACUGCAUCGCUAGAAUUGUGGAGAGGUAAGUGGAAUUCCGAGUGUAGAGGUGAAAUUCGUAGAUAUUCGGAAGAACACCAGUGGCGAAGGCGACUUACUGGACACAUAUUGACACUGAGAGACGAAAGCUAGGGGAGCAAAUGGG